UGGUGGUCCCUGUAGGGACAGAACCAGUUUGGGGAAUGGUUGUGCGAGUUGUGCUUGUAGUUGUGGUGAUGGGUCUAGACAGGGGUGCAGAAGUUGUGUGUUUGGGUGGAGUGACUGAAGAAGUGUUGGGACCAGUAGAUGAGGCUCGAGUUGUGCUCUGACUUGAGGCUGUGGGAGAUAAAGUUGUGGUUGUUUGUGUAGAGUGGGAGGGUGUCCCUGUUGGUGUGGUUCCAGUGGAACUCUUCAUGGUGCUGGUGAGUGUAGUAGAAGAUGUUUGGGAGCUGGAAGGGACAGAGGAAGAGGUCAUUGUUGUGUGAGGGAGAGUGGUGGAUGUCGGCAAAGAGGAAGGCAUGGUUGUGCUGUGCUGUGUGUGUGUGCCUGAUUGUGUGCCAGUUGUUGACAUUAUCCCAGCAGUGCUAGGGCCUGUAGGUUUUAUGGUGGUCCCUGUAGGGACAGAACCAGUUUGGGGAAUGGUUGUGCUAGUUGUGCUUGUAGUUGUGGUGAAGGGUCUAGAAAGGGGUGCAGUGGUUGUGUGUUUGGGUGGAGUGACUGAAGAGGUGUUGGGACCAGUAGAUGAGGCUCGAGUUGUGCUCUGACUCGAGGCUGUGGGAGAUAAAGUUGUGGUUGUUUGUGUAGAGUGGGAGGGUGUCCCAGUUGGUGUGGAUCCAGUGGUACCCUUCACGGUUGCCGUGGUGAGUGUAGUAGAAGAUGUUUGGGAGCUGGAAGGGACAGAGGAAGAGGUCAUUGUUGUGUGAGGGAGAGUGGUGGAUGUCGGCAAAGAGGAAGGCAUGGUUGUGCUGUGCUGUGUGUGUGUGCCUGAUUGUGUGCCAGUUGUUGACAUUAUCCCAGCAGUGCUAGGGCCUGUAGGUUUUAUGGUGGUCCCUGUAGGGACAGAACCAGUUUGGGGAAUGGUUGUGCGAGUUGUGCUUGUAGUUGUGGUGAUGGGUCUAGACAGGGGUGAAGUGGUUGUGUGUUUGGGUGGAGUGACUGAAGAAGUGUUGGGACCAGUAGAUGAGGCUCGAGUUGUGCUCUGACUCGAGGCUGUGGGAGAUAAAGUUGUGGUUGUUUGUGAAGAGUGCGAGGGUGUCCCAGUUGGCGUGGAUCCAGUGGUACCCUUCACGGUGGCCGUGGUGAGUGUAGUAGAAGAUGUUUGUGAGCUGGAAGGGACAGAUGAGGUGGUCAUUGUUGUGUGAGGGAGAGUGGUGGAUGUCGGGAAAGAGGAAGGAAUGGUUGUGCUGUGCUGUGUGUGUGUGCCUGAUUGUGUGCCAGUAGUUGAUAUUAUCCCAGAAGUGCCAGGGCCUGUGGGUUUUAUGGUGGUCCCUGUAGGGACAGAACCAGUUUGGGGAAUGGUUGUGCUAGUUGUGCUUGUAGUUGUGGUGAAGGGUCUAGAAAUGGGUGCAGUGGUUGUGUGUUUAGGUGGAGUGACUGAAGAGGUGUUGGGACCAGUAGAUGAGGCUCGAGUUGUGCUCUGACUCGAGGCUGUGGGAGAUAAAGUUGUGGUUGUUUGUGUAGAGUGGGAGGGUGUCCCCGUUGGCGUGGUUCCAGUGGUACCCUUCACGGUCGCCGUGGUGAGUGUAGUAGAAGAUGUUUGUGAGCUGGAAGGGACAGAUGAGGUGGUCAUUGUUGUGUGAGGGAGAGUGGUGGAUGUCGGGAAAGAGGAAGGAAUGGUUGUGCUGUGCUGUGUGUGUGUGCCUGAUUGUGUGCCAGUAGUUGAUAUUAUCCCAGAAGUGCCAGGGCCUGUGGGUUUUAUGGUUGUCCCUGUAGGGACAGAACCAGUUUGGGGAAUGGUUGUGCGAGUUGUGCUUGUAGUUGUGGUGAUGGGUCUAGACAGGGGUGCAGAAGUUGUGUGUUUGGGUGGAGUGACUGAAGAAGUGUUGGGACCAGUAGAUGAGGCUCGAGUUGUGCUCUGACUUGAGGCUGUGGGAGAUAAAGUUGUGGUUGUUUGUGUAGAGUGGGAGGGUGUCCCUGUUGGUGUGGUUCCAGUGGAACUCUUCAUGGUGCUGGUGAGUGUAGUAGAAGAUGUUUGGAGCUGGAAGGGACAGAG